rnacentral:rRNA from 1 species
GCAAGUCGAACGGAAACAUGUCUAGCUUGCUAGAUGAUGUCGAGUGGCGGACGGGUGAGUAAUGCCUGGGAAUUUGCCUUUGUGUGGGGGAUAACCAUUGGAAACGAUGGCUAAUACCGCAUAAUGACUACGGUCCAAAGGGGCUUUUAGCUCCCGCGCGAAGAGAAGCCCAGGUGAGAUUAGCUAGUUGGUGAGGUAAAGGCUCACCAAGGCGACGAUCUCUAGCUGUUCUGAGAGGAAGAGC